GCCGCCACGUGCUUCGCUGCACGCCUCUUUCUGCCCGACAGGGCCGAAGCUAUGGGUAAUCAACACCCCGAUGGAGGGAUCCAAUGGUGCACCCACUUUUCGAGUCCCCUGGAAGAAGUGGAACGGCGUCAACCAUCGCUGGAUUUUUAGAUGUUUAGUAAUUGCAAUAGCGUGCGUAUGCGUAGAUCUGCGAGCGAGUUAUAGGUUAUGCGGAAUGAUGAUGAUUGUAGUGCGAUUGUAAAGCGUUUUGUAUCCUAGCGUUUAAGAGUGAAUAAAGCGGCGUUUAGACAGCAAAAGGAAAAGAAGAGAGGAUAGUGUAUGCAAGUGUGAGUGAGUGCAGUGAGGAGAAAGAAGAGGAAAGGAGCCGCCAAAUUAAUUAAAAAUUGUAAAAAUUUAAAUAAAUAGAAUUGUACGGGCAUGGUAUUAUUAGAGACCAUGCUCAACACAUAAAAUUAUAAAAAUGUGUAAAUAAAAAAAAAAAAAAAAAAUAAUAAAAAUUAUAAAAAUUA